AGAUGAUUGCCGCGUUGCCAUGACAACAGCAGCACAUGUCGUCAUCACGUGAUUUGUGCGACAUCACGGUGGAGGCAAGACCACACGGGAGCAUGCGCAGUCCGCACACAAGGGCGACGAGAGCAACACCAUUCACCUGGGAGUAAGUAACUUUUUCUAAUGAACACUGCUGUAUAUUCUGGCAAUGUUUUAUUUGUAAUUGUAUAUAUUGAUCCUGAAGAAAGUCCGUGAGAGGACUGAUUUAAGGAUUAUCAUGUUUGAAUAAAGGAACUUUAAUACUGAAGACCGUGAGUGCAGCCAACAUUUAUGCUUUUACUUGUAUAUAUAAUUAUAUACAUAUAUUAAUAUCAUAGGCGUGUGCCUGGGCACACCCUUAUCCCCGCGGUCCGCACUAUGUGCCUCCCUCCAUGGUCUGGUGAGGAGAUCAAAGAUCUCCCUCACCUGCCCACAGCAGCAUGGAGGGAGGCAGGAGAGGACCCGGGGAGCUCUAGCCAGCAGCUCCGCCGGGUUCCUCUCGCGAGGUCGGAGCGUUGCCACGGACCACUAGACCACCAGGGAUGGCAGCAGCACGGUCCCCCCUCCCUAUAAAAAGGUAAGAAGGGAGGGGGGCUAUUAACUAAAUGCUCCCUCCACCCCCACCUCACACAAUACACACAAACAGCACCCACACACACACACAGCACACACACACAUACAUCAACCUUACACACACAGCACAUGCACACACACUAUCAGCACCCUCACACACAGCACCCUUACACAUACACACACACAGCACACACUAACAGCACCAUUACACACAGAGCACCCUCACACACACAGCACCCUUACACACACACACACACACACUAACAGUACCCUCACACAAACAGCACCCUUACACACACACACCACCCUCACAAACAGAGCACCCUCACACACAGCAUUCUUACACACACACACUCACACACACAGUACCCUCACACACACAUCACCCUAACACACACACACACACACACACACAACCCUCACAAACACACAGCACCCUUACACUCACACAGCGUCCUCACACAUACAGCACCCUCACACGCACAGCGCCCUCAGAUACACAGCGCGCACACAAAGCGUCCACACACACACACAGCACCCUCACACACACACAGCAGUGUGUGUGUGUAUGUGUGUAUAUAUAUAUAUAUAUGUGCGGCUUGUGUGUUUGUGCUUUAGGGUGCACACCCUUAUGCAAUAGGCUGUGCAAGCCUAUGAUUAAUAUUAAAAUACACUUAGAAUAAUGGAUUGUGUAUGUGUAUAUAAAAGUACCUAGAUUAUAUAUAUCAUCUAAGUACUUUUAUUAAAUUUAUUAAACUUUUUAAUAACUUUUAUUGACUUUCUAAACUUUUUUGCAGGCACGAGGGGGACAGACUGACCCCUUGCAGGCACUGCACAAGCUGGCUAUUCCGGCCAUGUGAUUGCGAGGAGGGCCGGAUCAGCCGCAGAGGGA